ACUAAAUUCUAUUUGGUGAAAAUUUUUAUGAUAUUUUUUAUAUAAUAUAUAUUUUUUUACAAUAUGAAGUAACAAAAUUUGCAUUGCAUUUUGAGGUAAUCACCGUAACCUAUAUUUUAUUUCAGCAAAACAAAUAUAUAAUUUUUAUUUCUAUAACUUCUGUUUGUUUUUUUUCUUUUUUUCUUCAGCAAAACAAAUUUAUAAUUCUUAUUUCUAUAACUUCUAUAUCUGUUUUUUUUUUUUUUUUUGGUCAAUUAUGUCUACAAAAAAAUUUGAAUCUGGGCAUGAAAAAAGAAAAAAAAAAAUCUGAAUUGGAUUAGAAAUAGAGAUUGAAUCUGAACCCAUCUGUGUACUGUAAUUAUAUUAAUUCUAUUUAUUUAUUUAUUCAUUAUUUGUUUUUAAAAAUUCAGCCCUACAUGAGCGUAUCUAAGUUUCUAACCCUAGGUUUCCUAACAUAGGGUCUGUGCUGUCUCUCGGCUCUCUCUUCCUCAGUUCCUCCAGACGAACCCAUCUGAAAUCUUGCAUAUCUCCAUGAUACCAUCACUCAUCAUCAGUCCAUAGUCCAUCGUUCCCUACAAUAAAUCGAAAAAACGACGACCUCUUCGUCGGGAUCGACCUCUUUUCCGGAUUUGGGCGUAAUUUUUUUGGAUGGAGGGAAGAGACUGCACCGAAGAAGGAGGGAAGUCUGAAUCUGCAUUUUAUCUUGAUGAGCGUGUCAUCCCUAGUUUUCUUUCAAGGCUUCCAACCCGAGCACGGCUGAUUUGCCGUCAAGUUUGCAAAGGAGUCUUACCUAUAUUCUUCCAGUUACCCAUUUCAAAGGUGUAGAGCUCCGCUAUUGAGUUCUUAGAUGUACUUAGUUGCGCAAUCUUUUUUUAUCCUAGAAUCUUGAAUGAAAGCUGAUCAGGGCUAUAACCGAAACCAUAUGCGGAUUUCGGAACUCUGGGACCGCAAAAAAUUCGCCUACAAGAGGGUUCAACACCCAACUCCGGGAUGUUGUAAGGUAUUCAAAACAUACUAGAGUUGAUGAACCAAUUAAAUUGAGUUUUGAAUACAAUUUACCGAAGAGAUGCAUGCUUUUCGUGGGUUCGGCAAAUGGAUUAAUAUGUUUUUAGACUAUAAAAUUGAUAAACUUUACAUAUGUAACCCUCUCGAAAGCUAAUUUUUUGCGGUCCCAGUUCAUUUCACAAUCGAAAUCCGCAUAUGGUUUCGGUUAUAGACGUGAUCAGCUUUCAUUCAACAUUUUAAGGAUAAAAAAAGAUUGCGCAACUAAGUCUAGUCCAUCUACGAACGGAGCUCUACACUUUUGGAAUGGUUACUGUAAGAAUAUAGAUAAGGUUCUCUUUCCACCAGACAGAACAGUAACUGUGGUGCUAGUGUGCAUGGCAAUCUACACUGGAUAAUUGAAGAUGCUAGAAUCAGUGAUGUUAUAUGACCCUUCCAUAAAGAAUAUGGAGUGAACAGCUCAUGGACUCAAGAUUACAAAAUCCAUUGACCCAUCCUUUCCCGUAAGCUGCGGCCUUUAGAUCUUCAACCAAUCACAAUGUGGAGGGAUGAAAUUUUGUUUUCUCAUAUCUUCCAAUUCGACAACUAAUGUUUUUGUUGAGGUCAACACAACCGGUAUGCAUUCAGGUUUUCAAAGAUUUCCAAUUCGACAACUAAUGUUUUUGUUGAGGUCAACACAACCAGUAUGCAUUCAGGUUUUCAAAGAUUUGAAUACGUUUUGUCAUUUCUCUCACUCAAGGAGCUCCUAGGAGAUGAAUCUCAAAAAGUUGGGAUCUUUUCUGUGAGGAAGAAGGUGAUUCAAGUUUUAUUAAUCGAGUGCAUAUAUGCCACUUUCAUGAUUCCAUCGGUAGUGGGAACCUAAACUUCUUUUCUUGCAGAAAAGAAGACUUCAAGAUCUUUUUUAUGAUUGGAAAGGAAAGAGAUUGAAAUACAGUAGCAGGAAUUGAAAGGAUAAUUAAAACGCGUAGUUUGUGUGUUGAACAAAGUUUACAAUGCACAUAAGUUACAAGUAUGCCCUAUUUAUAAAACUAUUGGAUGACAAUUCUAGCAGUAGGUAUCAUCAACCGCUGUGAGCUUCCAUGUGGAACGGUUGGAAUUCUCGCCAAGUGUCUUAUGUCUUCCUUGAUCUUCUCAUUGUGUUUAAGACCAUGUUUCCCUCUGUUAAGGGGGUGGAGCUACUGAAGGACUAAUCUGGGAUGUAGCCCAAAGUCUCAAAAAAAAAAAAAAAAAAAAAAUUAUUACUACUGUACGUAUGCAAUAUUGCUCUUCCUUUUAGUCCAGUCAAUAUGUAAUACUAUUCUUCCUCUUAACCUAGUUCACUUUGCAAUUCUGUAUCUGUUUUGCAACUUUUACAAAGUGGUGUUAAGAGCUUGAAUCAUGCAACAUGUUCUUUGCCCUUCCCUGAUAUGCAGCUAGAAGUUCCCAUGUUUUUAAUGGGCAUCUCUCUUUCUUAGGCAAUCCUUCAUCAUUUGUUGGUUUUAGGCAAGCCUUCCAUUAAUCUCCUAAAGGAUAAUAUGUUGAUCCUGAUUUAUUUUAUCUCUGGACAACAUUAUUCUUUUUUAUUUUUGAUUGACUAGUCAAAAUUAUGACAUAUUUGCAAUGAGAAUGGUGUUGGGCCUCACAUGAACAAUUAAAGGUCGUAGAAAACAAAUUCGUUCACAUGUCAUGAACAAUUAAAAGCUGUAAAAAGUAGAUUCCUUCACGUCAUAAACAACUAAAAGUUAUUUUAUUUUCUGUAUAAAUUCUGAUGAUCUGUAAACAAUAGGACAUUUGAAGUUUCUUUGUUUUCUCUCUCUCUUUGUAUUCUUCUCUCUUUAGCUUUCAUUAUUAUUUGCAUGAGAGUUGAAAAGUACUCUCAAAAGUGGAGAAGACAAUGGACAACCUUGUUUAACCCCUCCCAGUUUAGAAUAAACAAGCAGGAACUCCAUUGACAAAUUGUGCAUCAAUUUCAAUAGAAAAUUCAAGGAGACGGAAUCACAGGCCGCCUUCAAAUAUGCUUUCAAAGGGCUUUCAAAUAGCGGUACAAGGCUCUACUUCUCAAAAGAAAGUCAGUUCGAACCUUAAUGGAGGCAGUGUGUGUGACUCCCAA